UAACGACUCUCGGCAACGGAUAUCUCGGCUCUCGCAUCGAUGAAGAACGUAGCGAAAUGCGAUACUUGGUGUGAAUUGCAGAAUCCCGUGAACCAUCGAGUCUUUGAACGCAAGUUGCGCCCCAAGCCUAACCGCCGAGGGCACGUCUGUCUGGGUGUCACG
rnacentral:rRNA from 1 species